CUAGUGAGUCCCGCUCUGGGGUACUAGGUAGGCCUACAACCCAAAUCCCGCCCAUCCGGACCGACACGGCGUGAAGCUAGUGAGUCCCCUAAACUUUGCACGUUUGAUUCUGCCACCUGCCAACAGGAGAUAUGUUGAGUCACAGACCUAGUGAGUUCCGUGUGCAGGGAUCAAGGAGGAAACUACCGUAAUCCUCUAGAGCUAAUUGCUAAUGUCGCAGAACAAACAUUGCGGACGGUCGCGUUCCUCCUGAAAGCCUACACAGAAGAGUCGCAUACUUCUAUCUGAACUAUAUCAAUGAUGGCUUUGAGGGAGGAUGUACAGGUUCGGGUGGAGAACGCUAUGGUGGGGGGAGCAGCAGAGUGGUCCAGUACAAGGAGAUGCAUCACAGUCUUUUAAAAUUCCUGUUGAAUGGCCAAGCUGACCUCCAAGCUCAGCUAUGGCAAGACAAUAAGCACAUCACCGGUUGUUGGGCCAACCAGCUGCAUCACUGUAUUGGUGAACGCUGUGGUGAACUACAAGCCUGCAGGGCCUUCAUGCACACUCGGGGCUGACCACAGUGCAAGAUUAAACAACUGCUCAUAACAAGGGCACUGGACCACCUUCUUGCCCAUAUGAGCAAAUGACAAGAAUGAAAUGCCAACAUAGCACCCACACCUCCCUUGACAUUGCUAUUAGCACAUCAUGUUGUCCCUUAAUGUUUUUGACUUAUCUGAUUUGGCAUUGUGUGUGUGUUGGUCACUAAUUCAUCAGUGUGUCUCAACAGUAAGUAAAAAGAGAAAAGAACAAGAGUAGGCCAAAUGAUGAGACGUCGCAUUUACACCCUACACAGAAUCGCAAGGGGUUCAAUUGGAGACUUUGAAUGAAAUGGCAGGAGGGAAUUUUAUAUCUACUAAGUCAACACAGAAUUUUAAGUUAUUAGUGUGCUUAUGUGAAUGUGACAUGUGCAUAUGUUCCAAGAUUAUGUGCCUUGAAUGUAUUUAUUUUUGUAACUUGACUUUUCAAAUCACAAUUGUAUGUAACAGUAUGCCUAUUUAAAAAAAAAUAUUGAAUGACAACUUCAGUUAUUGCUCCUUGCAUUUUGAUUUAAAAACAAUUCUGUUUACAACUCUUGGGCAAAUGACUUUCCCCUAUUUGAAUGUCAUACAAAAUUGAAAUUAAACCUUGAGACAUUACUCCUUGUAUUUUGUUCAAAAUAAUCUCAACACAACCCAUUUGUUUAAGGUCUUUUCACCCUCUUUGAAUGUUUUAUAUUGUAUAGUGGCAGUACGAUAAAUAUUCUCUACAUUUCUUCUGGUUGUGCCUAAGGUCAAGUCUAAACAGGGUGACACGGCAUUUAGUCAUUAGGUCUAUGCUGCAAAAUGCUGGAACCAACUUACAGAUUAUAACUGCCACAAGUGUCUUGUUUUAAGGAAGUAAAAAAAAAAAACAGCUUUAUUCUCAUCUGCCUUUGGUGAUUGUUAAUUACACGCUAUAACACACGCUUUUCCUUCUCUUUUCGCUGUUCUAAGCACAUUGAAUGACAUUUGCUAUGAUAAUGUGCAGUAUAAAUAUUUGCUGUUGAUUGGUGUAGCUGAUAUUCAGGAGAACCACAUGGACUGGACUGAAAGUAGGUCACACAUUUUCAAAAACAAAGUUCAUGGUGUUAAGUAGCCUAAGCCUGGGGUAGUUCAGCCUGGUUAACACCAGUCGGUGUGUGUCUAGCGUUGGCGCCCUCUGGUGGAGCAGGGCAACACACAGGGUGCCGAUUCCGAAGCUACACACACGUCUGGUUAGAAUCAGCCAGGCUAGGGGUAGAUGCUAAUGGAGCAGCAAACUAGCGGCGCAGCAGCCUCCGGUGUGUAGG